rnacentral:rRNA from 1 species
AGUGAACGCUGGCGGUAGGCCUAACACAUGCAAGUCGAACGGCAGCACAGUAAGAGCUUGCUCUUACGGGUGGCGAGUGGCGGACGGGUGAGGAAUACAUCGGAAUCUACUUUUUCGUGGGGGAUAACGUAGGGAAACUUACGCUAAUACCGCAUACGACCUACGGGUGAAAGCAGGGGAUCUUCGGACCUUGCGCGAUUGAAUGAGCCGAUGUCGGAUUAGCUAGUUGGCGGGGUAAAGGCCCACCAAGGCGACGAUCCGUAGCUGGUCUGAGAGGAUGAUUAGCCACACUGGAACUGAGACACGGUCCAGACUCCUGCGGGAGGCAGCAGUGGGGAAUAUUGGACAAUGGGGGCAAGCCUGAUCCAGCCAUACCGCGUGGGUGAAGAAGGCCUUCGGGUUGUAAAGCCCUUUUGUUGGGAAAGAAAAGCAGCAGGUUAAUACCCCGCUGUUCUGACGGUACCCAAAGAAUAAGCACCGGCUAACUUCGUG